AGAACGAACGCUGGCGGCAGGCUUAACACAUGCAAGUCGAACGCCCCGCAAGGGGAGUGGCAGACGGGUGAGUAACGCGUGGGAAUCUACCUGGUUCUACGGAAUAACUGAGGGAAACUUCAGCUAAUACCGUAUACGCCCAAGGGGGAAGAUUUAUCGGUGCCAGAUGAGCCCGCGUUGGAUUAGCUAGUUGGUAGGGUAAUGGCCUACCAAGGCGACGAUCCAUAGCUGGUCUGAGAGGAUGAUCAGCCACACUGGGACUGAGACACGGCCCAGACUCCUACGGGAGGCAGCAGUGGGGAAUAUUGGACAAUGGGCGAAAGCCUGAUCCAGCCAUGCCGCGUGAGUGAUGAAGGCCUUAGGGUUGUAAAGCUCUUUCAGUGGGGAAGAUAAUGACGGUACCCACAGAAGAAGCCCCGGCUAACUUCGUGCCAGCAGCCGC
rnacentral:rRNA from 1 species